AAUGAACGCUGGCGGCAUGCCUUACACAUGCAAGUCGAACGGCAGCAUGACCUAGCUUGCUAGGUUGAUGGCGAGUGGCGAACGGGUGAGUAAUGCAUCGGAACGUGCCUUUUAGUGGGGGAUAACGUAGCGAAAGUUACGCUAAUACCGCAUAUUCUCUGAGGAGGAAAGCAGGGGACCUUCGGGCCUUGCGCUAGAAGAGCGGCCGAUGUCGGAUUAGCUAGUUGGUGAGGUAAAGGCUCACCAAGGCAACGAUCCGUAGCGGGUCUGAGAGGAUGAUCCGCCACACUGGGACUGAGACACGGCCCAGACUCCUACGGGAGGCAGCAGUGGGGAAUUUUGGACAAUGGGCGCAAGCCUGAUCCGGCCAUGCCGCGUGAGUGAAGAAGGCCUUCGGGUUGUAAAGCUCUUUCGGCUGGGAAGAAAUCGCACCCUCUAAUACAGGGUGUGGAUGACGGUACCAGCAUAAGAAGCACCGGCUAACUACGUG
rnacentral:rRNA from 1 species